rnacentral:rRNA from 1 species
CCCGCUGAACUUAAGCAUAUCAUAGCGGGGAGGAAAAGAAACUAACAAGGAUUCCCCUAGUAACGGCGAGUGAAGAGGGAAGAGCUCAAAUUUUGAAUCUGGCGUCUUUGGCGUCCGAAUUGUAAUCUAGAGAAGUGUUUUCCGUGACGGACCGUGCACAAGUCUCCUGGAAUGGAGCGUCAUAGAGGGUGAGAAUCCCGUAUAUGGCAUGGACUGCCGUUGCUCUGUGAUACACUCUCGACGAGUCGAGUUGUUUGGGAAUGCAGCUCUAAAUGGGUGGUAAAUGCCAUCUAAAGCUAAAUAUUGGCGAGAGACCGAUAGCGAACAAGUACCGUGAGGGAAAGAUGAAAAGCACUUUGGAAAGAGAGUGAAACAGUACGUGAAAUUGUUGAAAGGGAAACGCUUGAAGUCAGUCGCGCCGUUCGGGAUUCAGCCUUGCUUCUGCUCGGUUUACUUCCUGUUGGGUGGGUCAACAUCAGUUUUGGUCGGAGGAGAAAGGCUUGGGGAAUGUGGCAGCAUUCGUGCUGUGUUAUAGCCCCUUGUUGUAUACUUCGGCUGGGACUGAGGACCGCAGCACGCCUUUGGCCGGGGUUCGCCCACGUACGUGCUUAGGAUGUUGGCAUAAUGGCUUUAAGCGACCCGUCUUGAAACACGG